CGUUUUUUUUUUUCUUUUUC
rnacentral:miRNA from 1 species